UUUUUUUUAAAAAAAAAUACUAGAAACCAAACCAAGAUUUGUGAAAACUGUUUUAGCUGAAAAAAAAAAAAGAAAGAAAAGAAAGAAAAAGGAAGCUGGGCAUGGUGGUUCACACCCAGGAGGCAGAGACAGGCAGAUCUUUGUGAGUUUGGGGCCAGCCUGGUCUACAAAGGGAGUUCCAGGAAGGCCAGAGGUACACGCAGAACACUGUCUCAAAAAACAAACAAACAGAAAACAAAAAGACAGAAAACAACAAUGACGAACAUGGAAGACUAGCAAUACUUUAUCAUAAUGAGGUGGUUAAACGUAGGUCUAAUUAAAAAUUUUUAAACAAAAAAUUGUUAGCAUCGAGCAUGCUUAUAGUCUUCCAUAGUCCUCCUAAACACGCCGAUUUUAAUGACUUUUUUAUUUUCAAGACAGUGUUUCUUUAUGUAGCUCUGGCUAUUAUAGAACUUGCUUUGUAGACUGUUGCAACAAGACUGCUAAUAAAAUUUAGCUUGAAUCAGGGGGCGGAGUCAGCAACAAGCCGACCAGAGUUAGCCAUAGAGAAGACAGGAAUAUGGAUAGAGAGACACAGAGGAAAGAGAAGGGAGGGACUUGGAUUUCUUUGUGCUGGUUUUUGACCUGGGAAGUGUGGAGAGAAGGUCAGCUGGUCGUUCCUCUGCUACUUUCUUGUUCUAUCAGGAUUUUACUUCAAUAUCUCAAUAUCUGACUACUGAGGUGUUUUUUUUUUUUUUUUGGUAAUAGGAAAACUUAGAUAGACACAUUAUCUGGUGUCCAACAUGGGGCAUGAGAUCACAAGGCAGCUUAUGAAGCGGCUGGCUCUACAACCACCAGAAUUGCAGUCACCACUGCUGAGUCUGUCAUUCUGGCAGUCCUCAAGACGUCUCUUUCUGCUAUGACCUUCUCCUGCCAGAAGCCCUGAAUCAGCUUCUCAGAGGCUUGCUCCCCUUCCCUAUGGGUCAUGGACUUUCCUAGGGUCUGCUUUCUGGGCCACUACUGCUUCAACUUGGCCUCCUUGACACCUGUUUUGACUUUGGUUGUUGCUGCCUCUGUACACCCCAGCCCCCAAUGUUGCAGCCACUGUUGCUGUGGACAAAAUGAAAAGUCAGCAGAUCUGAGCCCAGAGGUUUGAUUUCACAGAGUGUUGGGAGUGAAGGCCACCAAUUCAUGAAUACAUUAGUCAAAAGUCUACUUCAGAAUCUUGCCUAUUGUUCACAGAUUUCCUGACUCCAUGUCUGAGAAUACUCUGCUAGCAAGCUUCUUAUUCUUCCUUCACAAUCCUGUUUGGAGAGCUGAAUCUGCGUUGAUGGUGAAACCAAAGGGCGUUAGCCAAAAUCAAACUUGAAAUUACUGUUGAAACAGCUGGGAGAGACAAGUUCUUCUCAGAAAGUUUAAGCAUGGUAAAGCAGCUUUGAAUCUGGGAUAGCCAUGGCCACGACCGUGACUGCUGUGGUCAUUCAACCUUUCAGUGGCAUCUCCAAGAAGACUCUGACUGAGCUGCCAGGAAUGUUGGCCUCUGUCUCCCCUUAUCUUCAAAGGCUCUUACACCAAGAAUUUCCAUCCCAAAUUUUAGUAUUCUUGUAAACAUCUCAUCUAUGUCUGCCCUUUGCCUUGGUAACUUGGAACACAUCAAUCUCACGAAAUAUCAAGGGGAAAGUAGAUUACUUUCUGCCCAGAACUGUGUUGGAAAGCAGUGUGUUUCCUCAGAUGGCAACGUGAUUAACACAACAGUUUGAUAAAACUUGUUGUCCUGGAGACUCUUCAGAAGGAGUGUGACCUUGAAAACCAUAAAAGUGGCUUGGCUGAGACAUGCCCACACAUGCCAUUAUUUGUUUCUGCCUAUGAACAGGACUGGGUUGGCCACUCUUUCUGAAUUAGAGCCCCCAGUGCUGAAAGCUUAACACUUUCUCUGAAAGGUCAAACGUUUUUAUGCCUUCUCCCCAGUAUGAUCAAGGGUUUAAAGCAGAGACUUGCUAAAGGGUUGAAAAUAGGAAGCAAAAGCAAAAAAGCAUCAUCAAAAGCUGAGUGGGGGUGCUGCUGCAGCGGUUGGCCUCUGAGGUGACAAAGCCCCCUUAGUUUUGGUGCCAUCCAUUUCUACCCAUUGCACAGAACAGUCUCUAUGGCAUGUUGUCUCUUAGGACUUUUUACAUUAUUUAUCUACCUUUGUUUCUGAGGACAAUAUAAUAAGUAAGAGAAAAAAAUCUCAUUGAAAUGAUUCCCCAAAGCCUCCACUCAAGCUAAAUGUGGUGAUAUAUUGGUAAUCCUAGUACCUGAGAGACUAACACAGGAGCGUAUGUUGAAACCAACUUGAGCGACAGUGGUCUCAACCUUGUGUUAAGUUCCACCCCUAGAAAAAGACUUUUUCCUACCACUUUGCUUUCCAAAGUCCAAAAGAUAUUAGCAAGUAAGAAUGUGCAUUUCCAUUUCAUGUUCUAAUACAUCUUCUAUCUUCUACAACAAGACCACAUUACUUCCCUUUUUCUGAAAAAAAAAAUAUUAACACCGACUUCCAUUUGCCCUCUUUGGGGACUGGGUGGAGGUUGACUCACCACAGGUAGAUCAAGCCAUCCAGAGUCUGCUGACAUCAAGGUGCUAGUCUUGUCUCCACCCACUGGGAGGAGUGUCUCAGACCUGCCUGCACCCACCAUGAGACCCAUCCGAGUAUUGGACCUGUUUGCACCUAUUGGAAGAGAACCUUGAACCCGUACUCACCAGGAGAGGAAGAGACCCCACCUGCACUCACUGGAAGAAGGGAUGGGAAGAUGACAAUACAAGAACACAUUCAACAACAGAAAAACCAAUAUGAUGCAACCAAAGUCUAGGGACUGUAUACCAGCAAGACCUGAAUAUCCCAACACAGAUGAGACAGAAGAAAACAACCUUAAAAACAACUUCAUGAAGAUGAUAGAGACCCUAAAAGAAGGAAUGAGAAAAAUCCUUUAAAGAAAUGGAAGAAAAAGCAAACAAAAGAAUUCAAGAAAUGGAGGAAAAGACAACCCAAAAAUUGUAAGAAAAAUUCAAACAGUGCAAGGCUUGGAAGCUGAAAUAGAGACAAUAAAAAAAAUCACACAGUCUGAGGGAAUGUUGGA
rnacentral:lncRNA from 1 species